rnacentral:tRNA from 1 species
UUGGUUGAAACCAAAAAGAGGUGUGUCACUGUUAAUGAUAAUAUUGAAAUUUAUUUUCCAAUCAAG